CGGGAACAGGAGCGGGCAGGGGGGAGAUAAACUCGGGAUGAGGAGUCCCCGCUGCUCAUACCCCAGCACGGAGCUGCUUCUUCCCAGCCUUGUCCCAGGCGAAGCACUGGCUAGAAGAGAUGAGCUACUCAAAGCAUUCCCAAGGAGACUCAGAAACGGCAUGGGAUACAGCUAAGGAAUGGAUAGAAUGCAUAAUCAACACAAUCAGAAACAAAGAGCAGGGAAUUGCAAGGGUCCUGAAGUCCAUGUUGAAUAUGAACCUUCAGCAGCUCUCCCAAGGAAUUCAAACUCUGGCAGAAGAUGUAGAGGAAUGGCCAGCAGCCAUAAAGCAUGAGCUUAGGCUUCUCAGAGCAUACCUGGAGAUGAACAAAGAAAACGAAGAGGAGGAUAUUGCAAAGGCCCUGGAAUCCAAGUUGAAUAUGAACCUUUGGCAGCUCUCCCAAGGAAUUGAAAAUUUGGACAAAGAUUUAUGGCACCAUCUGGAGACCACAAAGCAUGUCCUUCUGCCUUGCACCGCGUAACUGAAGAAGAACCCAGGAUGCUCAAGGAAUUGUCACAACGUGUCUGCAAUGCCAGGGUAUGAUUGGUGGAAUGGGUCCUGGGUCAGCCCUCACAGCCUGGGGCCCCUGCAGUUACAGCAAUCUGAUGUGACCAUCUGCACCUCUUUUGGUCGCUUUAAAUGCAUUCAUGUAAUUAUAGACACCUUUUCUGCAUGGUUUGAGCCACUCCUAUGACAAGCAAAGGAUCUCGUUUUGUCAUUCGACAGUUGCAAGGCUGCUUUGCCAUCAUGGGCUUGCCUCAGGAAAUCAAGACAGACAAUGGGUAAGGAUAUACAGCCCAACAGACCCAAGAUUUCUUGCCUCGUUGGGGAGGGAAGCAGAGCACAGGUAUUCCAGGUAACUCCACAGGACAAGGUACUAUUGAAAGAACACAUCAGGUACUGAAAGGACUGCUUGAUAAACAAAAACUUGGGGAGGAUGGGCUGAGCCCACAGGACAGAGUGCUGAAAGCAGUUUAUGUUAUGAAUCCUCUAUGGCUGGUAGGUACUGGUAGUGACCCACCAGCAUUAACACAUUACUCAGGUUUGCAGCAGGAAGAGAUUAUGCUUGUAUCAUUACAAAGGACCCUGAUGGAUACCAGUGAAAUGAGUUCAUCCCUGGCUUGAGAAGGAACUCUGACCCCUGAUAUCACCAAUGAAACAACCAGCAUUACCUGAAAACAACUGUGAACGCUUUUGCUAUCCUUGGAUGAGAUUGGAAUUGUGGAGUGUGGAUCAGAUGGGUGGUAUGAGUUUAGAGGAAGGAGCUUCUCAAGGUGUAUAGAGUGCAGACAUCAGCACACCUAAGAAUUCAAUACCUGGGUGGUUUUAUCCCAAGAGACAGGAACAACGGUUAAAUCACCUGAAAUCUGUCAAGAAGGGCUGAAUUUGUUUGAAUCUCAGGAGCAGGCUUUUCAGUGGUAUCAUAAUGAACUCUGGAAGCUCGAGCAAAAAGAGAGAGAAUAAAAUCAAGGCUAUUGAAUGUGAAAAAGGAAUACUUAUCCCUGGGACUUGGGGACUUAGAUCUGAGCAGUGAGAACAAACAAAACAAAGUGGGAAGAGAAGAACCAGAGGAGACAGAAUAGGAGAAGAGUGCAAAGAACAAGAGGCACAGUCAGUUUGAAUUUUAUCCAUCUCAUAGAGGAAGUGGUUUUUGCCAAUGAUAAAGAUGAAGAAUAGUCUUAAAUUAGAUUUGCAGGUUUUUGGGAGUCUCCCUCUGUUACUUGUGAUAUGUGGCAACAUCCAUAGUGCAGAAGAAAUUAACCCGCCGGGAUGGCAUCGACAGAAUAUGUGGCUUCCUUGGGCCAAUGCUGCUGGGGUAGACUCCUUUCAUUUGUCCUUAGCCAUGCCAUGAGAUCCCUUCUGUACAAGUUUAUUUGGUAUUCUAAAAAGUAAUUUUACUGGUUUUACAAGAUGGGUAGAAGCUAGAGGAAAGGGAUACGAGGGAGGAAAUAGAUCAAGUGUGGAGAAUCACUGGUGUAACACAAUCAGAGGUUGUACAAAAUUGGACAUAUGCAAAAGGUUGGGAAUUAGGCCAAACAGUGAGGGCUUCCAAGCAGGUAUGAUAACACAAUCACUGAAUGAAAGCAGACUACUGCCCCAAGAACUAGACUUGCUAGGAUUGGUACCUGGGAAUUAUUGAUUGUUUUUUAACUACUUUUUAAACCUGAAAUCAACUGAUAUGAGCAAUGUCCUAGUCCCAUGUCCCAAAAAUAAAAGUGUCAUCCUUAAUCCCAAUUCUCCAUGGUAUAAGAAUGUGACCAAAUAUUGCCACAACUGGACUUAUCCUGGAAGUGCUGGUGCAAAUGUGACUGUACAAAAGCUUCCACCAGGUGUCUUUUUAAUCUGUGGGGAUAGGGCAUGGCCUGCAAUUCUGAGCAAUCCGUUUGGUGGUCCUUGUUAUUUAGGAAAGCCAACCAUGUUUGCCUCUAGCAUGUGCAAAAUGCUGAAUCAGACUGUUUGGAAAGCAGGACAUAGCAAGAAGUCUAAAAGAGCAAUCACAAGCUUAAGACCUAAUUGCGACAAUCAUGUAGAGUUUUGGGGUGCUCCAGCACAAAUAACAGCAUCAUUCCUUACUCCAGGUGUUGCCGCUGUUCCAGCUUUGGCUACGCAUUACGUCUUGGGAUGCUGGACAGUCAAACAACUGAACACAACUUCAGCUAUUUUAAAACAAAUGCUCACUCAUGCAGAUAGUAUUAGACAUGGCACACUGCAAAACAGAGUUGCUAUAGAUUUUUUUACUGUUAGCACAUGUGCACAGGUGUGAGGAUUUUGAAGGAAUGUGUUGUAUGAAUCUCUCUGGCCAGUCUGCAACCAUUCACAGGAAACUCAACUACAAGACAACGUGAAGAAAUUGACAGUGAAUGAUUUGGGAUUGGAUGAAUGGUUUGAGGGAUGGGGAAUACCUGGGUGGUUGAAAGACAAUAUAAAGGGAGCUUUGUAAUUAUUAGUAGUCAUUAUUACAUUGCUUUGUAUUAUUCCAUGCCUAAUGAAAUUGGUGACCCGCUUGGUAGAAAAUACAGUGAAAAGGGUUUGGCUGGUGCAAGAAGAAACAGGGGGAAUUGUAGCAAUGUACCUGAACAACUUAGGCCACAUUGUGCACCAGCCAUACCACUUGUAGUUAUUCUUAUCAGAGCCCUCGGGAAUUCAUCAAGGUUACUAAGACAUAAACUGUUCUAAAUGAAGAAAGAAAAGACUGAGAAACAGAAUACCAAGACCACAAGAACUUGAUAACAGAGGGCUGUGAACCACCUGCACUGUAACCAAUCACAUACCCUGCAGAGUGAGUGCAGAACCCAAGGACAACACAGAGGCAGCAAUGAAGAAGAGCGUGAUGAGCGUGUGCAGUAGGGUUAGAAUGUAUAAA